GGGGGUGUAAAGGUUUCGACGGGGAUUCUGAGGCGUGAUAAGCGGGUAGAGGUCGGAGAACCUCUUAAAUCAUCUCCAAACUCAAUUAAACGCCAACAACACUGAACUGGCAGCUGCCUAAGGGCGGCACGCGGCUGUAAGCCGCUCGUCUCCGGCGGGAGGGCUGCGGACCGCCGCGAGGCGUAAAAUCAGCAGCGAACGUGAACCGUGAGUUUGCUUUUGCAGCGGUCAUGCAUCAAAAAGCUACCGCGCGGCGGAGCCUGAAUACCGGCGCCGCGGCCGGGAAAUACAAAUGAUAUUCUGCACCCGGAGAAAGUCACGUCAAGGGGUUUUCGGACGUGGGUUCGAUUCCCACCAUCUCCACCA
rnacentral:tmRNA from 1 species